rnacentral:rRNA from 1 species
GACGAACGCUGGCGGCGUGCUUAACACAUGCAAGUCGAACGCUGAAGCUCAGCUUUUGUUGGGUGGAUGAGUGGCGAACGGGUGAGUAACACGUGAGUAACCUGCCCCCUUCUUUGGGAUAACGCCCGGAAACGGGUGCUAAUACUGGAUAUUCACUGGUCUUCGCAUGGGGGUUGGUGGAAAGGGUUUUUCUGGUGGGGGAUGGGCUCGCGGCCUAUCAGCUUGUUGGUGGGGUGAUGGCCUACCAAGGCUUUGACGGGUAGCCGGCCUGAGAGGGUGACCGGUCACAUUGGGACUGAGAUACGGCCCAGACUCCUACGGGAGGCAGCAGUGGGGAAGAUUGCACAAUGGGCGCAAGCCUGAUGCAGCGACGCCGCGUGAGGGAUGGAGGCCUUCGGGUUGUGAACCUCUUUCGCUCAUGGUCAAGCCGCAACAAUGGUUGUGGUGAGGGUAGUGGAUAAAGAAGCGCCGGCUAACUACGUG